rnacentral:tRNA from 1 species
GAUCCCGUAGCUCAGCUGGAUAGAGCAGGCGCCUUCUAAGCGUCAGGUCGCAGGUUCGACUCCUGCCGGGAUCGCCA